GUUGACGUAGCUUAAGCAAAAGCAUGGCGCUGAAGAUGCCAAGAUGAGCUAUAAAAAGCUCCGACAACA
rnacentral:tRNA from 1 species